rnacentral:lncRNA from 1 species
AGCGUGUGCCGCUGUGGGCACUGUGUCCUCUGAGUUCCGGAGCUGGACCAGAGAGGAUGUGCUGUCUUAUUUAAAGGGCUGAUUACUGGAUUCCUAAAUGGGGAAAGAAAGCUCUGGGGAACAGGGUCUCUGGCCCUCCAGGGAUUUCACCACAGGAUUCUGACUGCUGCCAUUUUAGAGUUCUGGUUCUAUCAGGAACAGAGUUUGAAUUAAACAGCAAUUGCUCUUUAACGACCUUGGAGCACCUUUUGCCACAAGUGUAUGGACCAAUACAGCCCAGGUGCAGCCUCGUGACAGUUGUCUGGAGAAGUUUCUUGGAAAUUUAUGAGACUUUCAAAACACAAACUGCUCGGAGCCGAGCCGACCUGCUGGAGACUGGGAGAAUCAGAGGCAGGUCUGACCUGGAGCCCAACAACAUGACGACCCCGGUCCUUGCACAUGGAGUGGCUCCUGCCAGUGGGGCUCACCAGCAGCACUGACCUUCCAGGUUGCCCCCAGAGCGCUGCAGAGUGGUGUGUGGACCAUGACUUUAAUGGCUCCUCCAGGCUUCACAGUGUAGCCUGAUCCAGAGGGUGAAGGACAGCGCAGCUUCUUUUGGAGUCCAUGGGUUAGCUGCAC